GGGUCGUUAGCUCAGUCGGUAGAGCAGUUCGCUUUUAACGAAUUGGUCGAUGGUUCGAAUCCAUCACGACCCACCA
rnacentral:tRNA from 1 species